AGUGCCCUUGAGGAAUUAAAGGUGCACCCAUGGGGACAGAGGCCUGGAGUGGUGAGAGGGAACCGGUGCUUAGAAUACAGGCAGCAGGCAGAGGAGUGCCACCGGCCUAGGGCAGCGGAUGACGUAGCCCACAUGCCUGCCAAAGGGGAGCCGCAGUGGAGCCAUCUGAAGUGCUUCAGGAUGCCCAGCUGGGAGCAGAGGGACGAGAUGGAACAGUACUGAGCUGAGGGCCUUGCUGUUGGAGUUGGAUUUGGGGCUGUAGAAAAGACGGCAUCUGCCACCUUUGAGAGCGCCAGGAACUUGGCCAUUGGGAUUGGAAUCCAGAACUUCCCGGAGGGCCUGGCCGUCAGCCUCCCCUUGCGAGGGGCGGGCUUCUCCACCUGGCGAGCCUUCUGGUUCGGGCAGCUGAGCGGCAUGGUAGAGCCGCUGGCCGGGGUCUUUGGCGCCUUCGCGGUGGUGCUGGCCGAGCCCCUCCUGCCCUACGCUCUGGCCUUUGCUGCUGGCGCCAUGGUCUACGUGGUCAUGGACGACAUCAUCCCCGAAGCCCAGAUCAGUGGCAACGGGAAGCUGGCAUCCUGGGCCUCCAUCCUGGGAUUUGUGGUGAUGAUGUCACUGGACGUGGGCCUGGGCUAGCUCUGGGUCACGACACCCCCCCGGAAGGACAGCACCAGACCUCGAUGGGACCACGAGCCUUUCUUCACAUUGAACUAUUGCUCCCU